ACUCAAAGGAAUUGACGGGGGCCCGCACAAGCGGCGGAGCAUGCGGAUUAAUUCGAUGCAACGCGAAGAACCUUACCAAGGCUUGACAUCACCCGGAACUGCGCAGAGAUGUGUAGGUCUUCGGACUGGGUGACAGGUGGUGCAUGGUUGUCGUCAGCUCGUGUCGUGAGAUGUUGGGUUAAGUCCCGCAACGAGCGCAACCCUUGUCUCAUGUUGCCAGCACGUAAUGGUGGGGACUCAUGGGAGACUGCCGGGGUCAACUCGGAGGAAGGUGGGGAUGACGUCAAAUCAUCAUGCCCCUUAUGUCUUGGGCUUCACGCAUGCUACAAUGGCCGGUACAACGGGUUGCGAUAUCGUAAGGUGGAGCGAAUCCCUAAAAGCCGGUCUCAGUUCGGAUUGGGGUCUGCAACUCGACCCCAUGAAGUCGGAGUCGCUAGUAAUCGCAGAUCAGCAACGCUGCGGUGAAUACGUUCCCGGGCCUUGCACACACCGCCCGU
rnacentral:rRNA from 1 species